rnacentral:rRNA from 1 species
CUCGGGUCUUGUACACACCGCCCGUCAAGUCAUGAAAGUCACCAAUACCUGACGUAUCAGCUAGCCUGGUCCUAGGGUAGGGGCGAUGAUUGGGACU